rnacentral:rRNA from 1 species
CGCCUCUUGAAUAUAUAUAAGAGGUCCAGCCUGCCCAGUGACUAAAUUCAACGGCCGCGGUAUCCUAACCGUGCGAAGGUAGCGUAAUCACUUGUUCUUUAAAUGAGGACUAGUAUGAAUGGCACCACGAGGGUUAUACUGUCUCCUUUUUCUAAUCAAUGAAACUGAUCUCCCCGUGAAGAAGCGGGGAUAAAACUAUUAGACGAGAAGACCCUAUGGAGCUUCAAACAACAUAGCAAUAGCUUAUUUAUUUAUAUAAUUUCAGAAUACCUAUACUUAUCUUAGCCUUUUGACUAUUAGUUUUGGGUUGGGGUGACCACGGAGCAAAACCUAACCUCCAUGUUGGAUAGAUCUUCUCUUGAGCCAAAAGCCACAACUUUAAGCACCAAUAAACUGACAUAACUUGACCCAAUAUUUUGAGCAACGAACCAAGUUACCCUAGGGAUAACAGCGCAAUCCACUUCAAGAGCCCCUAUCGACAAGUGGGUUUACGACCUCGAUGUUGGAUCAGGGUAUCCCAGUGGUGCAGCCGCUACUAAAGGUUCGUUUGUUCAACGAUUAAAACCCUA